AUGAACUUCCAGAUGUUCAAGCUGGUUUUAGAAAAGGCAGAGGAACCAGAGAUCAAAUUGCCAACAUCCGCUGGAUCAUGGAAAAAGCAAGAGAGUUCCAGAAAAACAUCUAUUUCUUCUUUAUUGACCAUGCCAAAGCCUUUGACUGUGUGGAUCACAAUAAACUGGAAAAUUCUGAAAGAGAUGGGAAUACCAAACCACCUGACCUGCCUCUUGAGAAAUCUGUAUCCAGGUCAGGAAGCAACAGUUAGAACUGGACAUGGAACAACAGACUGGUUCCAAAUAGGAAAAGGAGUAUGUCAAGGCUGUAUAUUGUCACCAUGCUUAUUUAACUUUUAUGCAGAGUACAUCAUGAGAAACACUAGACUGGAAGAAGCACAAGCCGGAAUCAAGAUUGCCGGAAGAAAUAUCAAUAACCUCACAUAUGCAGAUAACGCCACCCUUAUGGCAGAAAGUGAAGAGGAACUAAAAAGCUUCUUGAUGAAAGUGAAAGAGGAGAGUGAAAAAGUUGGCUUAAAGCUCAACAUUCAGAAAACAAAGAUCAUGGCAUCUGGUCCCAUCAGUUCAUGGGAAAUAGAUGGGGAAACAGUGGAAACAGUGUCAGACUUUAGUUUUGGGGGCUCCAAAAUCACUGCAGAUGGUGAUUGCAGCCGUGAAAUUAAAAGACGCUUACUCCUUGGAAGGAAAGUUAUGACCAACCUAGGUAGCAUUUUCAAAAGCAGAGACAUUACUUUGCCAACAAAGGUCCAUCUAGUCAAGGCUAUGGUAUUUCCAGUGGUCAUGUAUGGAUGUGAGAGUUGGACUGUGAAGAAAGCUGAGCGCCAAAGAAUUGAUGCUUUUGAACUGUGGUGUUGGAGAAGAUUCUUGAGAGUCCCCUGGAUUGCAAGGAGAUCCAACCAGUCCAUUCUGAAGGAGAUCAGUCCUGGGUGUUCUUUGGAAGGAAUGAUGCUAAAGCUGAAACUCCAGUACUUUGGCCACCUCAUGCAAAGAGUUGACUCAUUAGAAAAGACUCUGAUGCUGGGAGAGAUUGGGGGCAGGAGGAGAAGGGGACGACAGAGGAUGAGAUGGCUGGAUGGCAUCACCGACCCUAUGGACGUAAGUUUGAGUGAACUCUGGGAGUUGGUGAUGGCCUGGCAUGCUGUGAUUCAUGGGGUCGCAAAGAGUCGGACACGACUGAGCGACUGA
rnacentral:lncRNA from 1 species